GUCGCUUGAGGUGGUGGAUUUCGUAGCAACCACACGCUCUAUGAGCCAAAAGGGACGCAGGAGAAUGCUACGCCUGCCAAGUGAC
rnacentral:ncRNA from 1 species